rnacentral:rRNA from 1 species
UUUUNUUAGAGUUUNNUCCUGNCUCAGGACNANCGCUGGCGNCNUNCCUAAUACAUGCAAGUCGAACGCUUCUUUUUCCACCGGAGCUUGCUCCACCGGAAAAAGAAGAGUGGCGAACGGGUGAGUAACACGUGGGUAACCUGCCCAUCAGAAGGGGAUAACACUUGGAAACAGGUGCUAAUACCGUAUAACAAUCAAAACCGCAUGGUUUUGAUUUGAAAGGCGCUUUCGGGUGUCGCUGAUGGAUGGACCCGCGGUGCAUUAGCUAGUUGGUGAGGUAACGGCUCACCAAGGCCACGAUGCAUAGCCGACCUGAGAGGGUGAUCGGCCACAUUGGGACUGAGACACGGCCCAAACUCCUACGGGAGGCAGCAGUAGGGAAUCUUCGGCAAUGGACGAAAGUCUGACCGAGCAACGCCGCGUGAGUGAAGAAGGUUUUCGGAUCGUAAAACUCUGUUGUUAGAGAAGAACAAGGAUGAGAGUAACUGUUCAUCCCUUGACGGUAUCUAACCAGAAAGCCACGGCUAACUACGUGCCAGCAGCCGCGGUAAUACGUAGGUGGCAAGCGUUGUCCGGAUUUAUUGGGCGUAAAGCGAGCGCAGGCGGUUUCUUAAGUCUGAUGUGAAAGCCCCCGGCUCAACCGGGGAGGGUCAUUGGAAACUGGGAGACUUGAGUGCAGAAGAGGAGA